UUGGAAUCUGAAAAAACACAUCCAUCCCUGAGAGAUUUUUGUUUGUGUUUAACCAAGUUUGGAUGCGAUCGGACUGCUGAAUUUACCAGGUGUGAUACAUUCCCAGCGUCUCAUUUAUUGCUUCCCUACCCCCAGCAUCUAGUUGCCAGUUACUGCUAUGUGAAAACAUGCAGAUGAGUUUAUGAUUUAUAUUGCAGUUGCGUCUGGAAGUCCCACACAAUCAGUGAUCCUCCGAGCUGUGCACUGUAAAAAAGCCAGAAAGGAAAAUACCUUUGCCUCAAAGAGUUAACAACUCCAAACAGAUAAUUCUUGAGAGGGCAGAGAAGAGAGACAAAGAGUUACACUGAGCCACCAAUGGUUGAAUUGGGAGUGUUAUAAAGCUGUUAGAUAGACAGGCAGGUAGCUGCUGAAGAGGAGCACUUGAGAAGAACAGAGUAAAUCUCCAUACCAGGUACUCCAGAAGAAACUGGUUUAAAGGGACUAACAGAAUUGAAAUGACAGCCUGUCCUGGUGGAGCUGCUAUGUCCUUCGAGCACUGCAGUGUUCUUAUUCUGAUUCUGCUGGGUCAGUGCCUGCUCCAAUCAUAAGCCCAAGAAUGUAGCCUUCUGCAUCAUAAAUUUCUGAAUAUGCUGCUGGUAAGAAAACAACUCUGUUCAGUGCUUUUGGCUGGACUUAAAGGAUACAUCUACUGAGUGUAGCUGUUCCAAGGCCAUCCUGGAACUUCCCAACAGCAUCAUAGUGUGUGUCCUCUUCUGCCAACUYAGUCAGCCUGCAAGUUUCUUCAUCAGGAAAGUGAUUUCAGGGCUGUAAUUGCUCUGAUGUUACAGGAUGCACUUUCCCGUCAUGACGGCAUACAAGAGCACUGCUUUCCUUUCAACAUCAUCCUAACUGGAAGAGAACAGCUCUCUACCAAAAGCUGUCAUCUGCACAACAGUGUCUGCAGAAAGGGACCCUUUGCUUCAGCCACCUCCAUGCAAAACCUGUCUUCGUAG
rnacentral:lncRNA from 1 species